AUGGGCUCCGGCCCAGGCGCGGUUGGAGACGGGGCGCCCGGUGCGGAGUCGAGGGCGGGAGGCGGUGCAUGCACCGGCCGAUCGUCGUGCACCACAGGCGACGUAGCGGUGUUAGGGCCCCCAUCCAGGGUCGCAGGGGGCGGGGCUGCCUUGCCAGGUUACGGGGCAGGGGGGCGCUGGCCGCGAGAGGCCCAGAAGGCUGCCGGCUGGGCGGUGAUGGUGGCGGAGGAGCGACGAACCUCGACCCGUUGCUCGGUGAAGAGGAGGCAAAGAGAAAAAAUCCCCUGCCUCAUCGCGGUAGCAGCAAUAGAGAAACCCUCGCUGCACCGCCAUCCUCGUCAACCAGCGAUUGGCGAUUCCCCGCCGCCCCGGCCGCCGGGUCCGAAAUACAAGAUUUACAAGAGGACCCGUACAAUUGAAUCUUUCUUUCAGUCAACAUCCAAUGAGCCUUCAGCCAACAACACCAACACUGAUGGAUCACCUACAGAAUCAGUACCAGUGGGAGCUAGUAAUGCAAAGGAAAGUGAACCACAUGUGGAGCUUAAUCUGGAUGACAUUAAUCCUAAUCCCGGCCUCCGAAAACCAAUUGAAGAGUUGCAUCCGGAUGUUAGGGAUGCUGCUAGAAGAGAGUAUUUGGCCAUGGGAGCAUGUCGACCAACAGGCCAUGUUUAUGAACAGGGAAGAAUUGGGAAGCAGAUGAGAGGCUUUCAUGAAGAGUGUGCUCAUAAUAGAGCAAGAAGACAAUGUCAAGCUUUUCAAAACCCAAGGCAAAAUGUGGAACAAGUAUUGGCCGGUUCAGACAAGAAGGAGGAAGAGUACUUGGGUUGUCUCACUAUCAUGUUAGGUGUUGUGAAGUUUCUUUUAUUGCAAGCUCUUGCUUUUCGUGGACAUGAUGAGUCUGCUAACUCAAACAACAAGGGGAAUUUCUUAGAGAUGGUGCAGUGGUAUAAAAAGAGAGAUUUAAAUGCCACUAAGUUGUUAGAUUGUGCUCCUAGAAAUAAUUUUUUGACAUCUGCACAAAUACAAAAGCAUUUGUGCAAAGCUUGUGGAGAAGAGACGACUAAAGCAAUUGUGAAGGAUAUUGGGGAUAAAAAUUCGUUGUCCUUGUUGAUGAGGCUCAAGAUGAUCUCUCAAGGAACAAAUGGCUGUGGCUUUGAGAAAUUAGAGACUGGAGAAAUUUUUACAGGGAGAGGGAGGAACCAACAAACUAACCUUAGAAGACCCGGUGAAACUAGGUGGAGCUCACAUCAUAAAACCUUGUGUCGUCUUCAUCUCAUGUGGUAUGUAGUGCUAGAGGUAUUGGAGAAUAUGUCUGAUGAUGCCACUAACACAUCACAAAAGACCAGAGCACGAGGUUUGAUACGUCAUAUGGAGAGCUUUGAGUUUGUGUUUAUACUGCAUCUUAUGAUGAAAUUCUUGGGAAAAACUAAUGAUCUAUCACCGUGCUUGCAAAAGAAGAACCAGAAUAUUGUUCGUGCUAUGGGCUUCAUUCAAACCACAUUGAAGAAACUUAAUGAGAUGAGGCAUCAGGGGUGGGAUGAGCUAUUUGAAGAGAUUAUUGUUGAGUUCAACAAUCGCUUUGCUGAGAAACCUACCCAACUAUUGUGA
rnacentral:rRNA from 1 species